rnacentral:rRNA from 1 species
UGACUGCGUACCUUUUGUAUAAUGGGUCAGCGACUUAUAUUCUGUAGCAAGGUUAACCGAAUAGGGGAGCCGAAGGGAAACCGAGUCUUAACUGGGCGUUAAGUUGCAGGGUAUAGACCCGAAACCCGGUGAUCUAGCCAUGGGCAGGUUGAAGGUUGGGUAACACUAACUGGAGGACCGAACCGACUAAUGUUGAAAAAUUAGCGGAUGACUUGUGGCUGGGGGUGAAAGGCCAAUCAAACCGGGAGAUAGCUGGUUCUCCCCGAAAGCUAUUUAGGUAGCGCCUCGUGAAUUCAUCUCCGGGGGUAGAGCACUGUUUCGGCAAGGGGGUCAUCCCGACUUACCAACCCGAUGCAAACUGCGAAUACCGGAGAAUGUUAUCACGGGAGACACACGGCGGGUGCUAACGUCCGUCGUGAAGAGGGAAACAACCCAGACCGCCAGCUAAGGUCCCAAAGUCAUGGUUAAGUGGGAAACGAUGUGGGAAGGCCCAGACAGCCAGGAUGUUGGCUUAGAAGCAGCCAUCAUUUAAAGAAAGCGUAAUAGCUCACUGGUCGAGUCGGCCUGCGCGGAAGAUGUAACGGGGCUAAACCAUGCACCGAAGCUGCGGCAGCGACGCUUAUGCGUUGUUGGGUAGGGGAGCGUUCUGUAAGCCUGCGAAGGUGUGCUGUGAGGCAUGCUGGAGGUAUCAGAAGUGCGAAUGCUGACAUAAGUAACGAUAAAGCGGGUGAAAAGCCCGCUCGCCGGAAGACCAAGGGUUCCUGUCCAACGUUAAUCGGGGCAGGGUGAGUCGACCCCUAAGGCGAGGCCGAAAGGCGUAGUCGAUGGGAAACAGGUUAAUAUUCCUGUACUUGGUGUUACUGCGAAGGGGGGACGGAGAAGGCUAUGUUGGCCGGGCGACGGUUGUCCCGGUUUAAGCGUGUAGGCUGGUUUUCCAGGCAAAUCCGGAAAAUCAAGGCUGAGGCGUGAUGACGAGGCACUACGGUGCUGAAGCAACAAAUGCCCUGCUUCCAGGAAAAGCCUCUAAGCAUCAGGUAACAUCAAAUCGUACCCCAAACCGACACAGGUGGUCAGGUAGAGAAUACCAAGGCGCUUGAGAGAACUCGGGUGAAGGAACUAGGCAAAAUGGUGCCGUAACUUCGGGAGAAGGCACGCUGAUAUGUAGGUGAAGUCCCUCGCGGAUGGAGCUGAAAUCAGUCGAAGAUACCAGCUGGCUGCAACUGUUUAUUAAAAACACAGCACUGUGCAAACACGAAAGUGGACGUAUACGGUGUGACGCCUGCCCGGUGCCGGAAGGUUAAUUGAUGGGGUCAGCGCAAGCGAAGCUCUUGAUCGAAGCCCCGGUAAACGGCGGCCGUAACUAUAACGGUCCUAAGGUAGCGAAAUUCCUUGUCGGGUAAGUUCCGACCUGCACGAAUGGCGUAAUGAUGGCCAGGCUGUCUCCACCCGAGACUCAGUGAAAUUGAACUCGCUGUGAAGAUGCAGUGUACCCGCGGCAAGACGGAAAGACCCCGUGAACCUUUACUAUAGCUUGACACUGAACAUUGAGCCUUGAUGUGUAGGAUAGGUGGGAGGCUUUGAAGUGUGGACGCCAGUCUGCAUGGAGCCGACCUUGAAAUACCACCCUUUAAUGUUUGAUGUUCUAACGUUGACCCGUGAUCCGGGUUGCGGACAGUGUCUGGUGGGUAGUUUGACUGGGGCGGUCUCCUCCUAAAGAGUAACGGAGGAGCACGAAGGUUGGCUAAUCCUGGUCGGACAUCAGGAGGUUAGUGCAAUGGCAUAAGCCAGCUUGACUGCGAGCGUGACGGCGCGAGCAGGUGCGAAAGCAGGUCAUAGUGAUCCGGUGGUUCUGAAUGGAAGGGCCAUCGCUCAACGGAUAAAAGGUACUCCGGGGAUAACAGGCUGAUACCGCCCAAGAGUUCAUAUCGA